GCCACAGCUACUCUACACACAGCCACACCUUCUCUACACACAACCACACCUACUCUACACACAGCCACACCUACUCUACUUCAGCCACACCUACUCUACACACAGCCACACCUACUCUACACACAGCCACACCUACUCUACACACAGCCACAGCUACUCUACACACAGCCACACCUACUCUACACACAGCCACAGCUACUCUACACACAGCCACAGCUACUCUACACACCGCCGCAUCUACUCUACAACAGCCACAUCUACUCUACACACAACCACAUCUACUCUACACACAACCACACCUACUCUACUUAAGCCACACCUACUCUACUUAAGCCACAUCUACUCUACACACAGCCACAGCUACUCUACACACAGCCACACCUACUCUACACACAACCACACCUACUCUACACACAGCCACACCUACUCUACUUAAGCCACAUCUACUCUACACAGAGCCACACCUACUCUACACAGAGCCACACCUACUCUACACACAGCCACAUCUACUCUACACACAGCCACAUCUACUCUACACACAGCCACAUCUACACUACACACCACCGCAUCUACUGGUAAAUAUGUAAGGUCUGCUAUCAUGGGUUUUAAUGGUAAAUAUGUAAGGUCUGCUAUCAUUGGUAUUAAUGGUAAAUAUGUAAGGUCUGCUAUCAUGGGUUUUAAUGGUAAAUAUGUAAGGUCUGCUAUAAUGGGUUUUAAUGGUAAAUAUGUAAGGUCUGCUAUCAUUGGUAUUAAUGGUAAAUAUGUAAGGUCUGCUAUAAUGGGUUUUAAUGGUAAAUAUGUAAGGUCUGCUAUCAUGGGUUUUAUUGGUAAAUCUGUAAGGUCUUCUAUACACACCCUUGUUCAUGGGUUUUAAUGGUAAAUAUAUAAGGUCUUCUACACACACCCUUGUUCAUGCGUUUUAAUGGUAAAUAUGUAAGGUCUGCUAUCAUGGGUUUUAAUGGUAAAUAUGUAAGGUCUUCUACACACACCCUUGUUCAUGGGUUUUAAUGGUAAAUCGGUAAGGUCUUCUAUACACACCCUUGUUCAUGGGUUUUAAUGGUAAAUCUGUAAGGUCUGCUAUCAUGGGUUUUAAUGGUAAAUCUGUAAGGUCUUCUAUACACACCCUUGUUCAUGCGUUUUAAUGGUAAAUCUGUAAGGUCUUCUAUACACACCCUUGUUCAUGCGUUUUAAUGGUAAAUCUGUAAGGUCUUCUAUACACACCCUUGUUCAUGCGUUUUAAUGGUAAAUCUGUAAGGUCUUCUACACACACCCUUGUUCAUGGGUUUUAAUGGUAAAUCUGUAAGGUCUUCUAUCAUGGGUUUUAAUGGUAAAUAUGUAAGGUCUGCUAUCAUGGGUUUUAAUGGUAAAUCUGUAAGGUCUUCUAUACACACCCUUGUUCAUGGGUUUUAAUGGUAAAUCUGUAAGGUCUGCUAUCAUGGGUUUUAAUGGUAAAUCUGUAAGGUCUGCUAUCAUGGGUUUUAAUGGUAAAUCUGUAAGGUCUGCUAUCAUGGGUUUUAAUGGUAAAUCUGUAAGGUCUGCAUGGGAAGGCAUGAAGACAAGAAGUAUUCUUUAGUGUACUGAAAGUUAGAUGUGGUAGAUUUUAUUGUUAAACAGGGUAGUACAUAUUUCUUUCAUAUUCAGUUUUAUUUGAAGUGGUUAGAAUUGCAUGUUCAGAAAAUGUUUAUCAUUUUGAGGUCUAAGAACAUAUCAUUAAAUAUGUUUGAUUUAUCAAGUGGGGCUAUUUUGACUGUCUUUGUUGUUGUCAUUGUCAUUUGUGUUUAUAUUUAUUAAGUUGUUAAUAAAAUCAUUGCAUCCCAAUCAGAAUAAAAUUGUUAAUUGUCUUU